rnacentral:rRNA from 1 species
UACGUAGGUGCCCAGCGUUGUCCGGAUUUAUUGGGCGUAAAGAGCGCGCAGGCGGUCGUUCAAGUCGAGUGUGAAAGCCCCCGGCUCAACUGGGGAGGGUCACUCGAUACUGAUCGACUUGAAGGCAGGAGAGGGAAGCGGAAUUCCCGGUGUAGUGGUGAAAUGCGUAGAUAUCGGGAGGAACAUCAGUGGCGAAAGCGGCUUCCUGGACCAGCACCGACGCUCAGGCACGAAAGCGUGGGGAGCAAACAGG